CAACAUCGAGGUCGCAAUCAAUUUUAUCAAUAAGAACUCUCCAAAAUUAUUACGCUGUUAUCCCUAAAGUAACUUAUUUUAUUAAUCAUUAAUAAUGGAUCAUUUUCAUAGAUUAAUGUUUAAAAAUUUUUAAAAGUUAUAUAAAUUUUAAUAUCACCCCAAUAAAAUAAAUAUUUUAUUAAUAAAAUUUAUAAAUCAAUAAAUUUAUAAUAAAAUUAUUAUAAAGAUUUAUAGGGUCUUCUCGUCUUUUAAAAACAUUUUAGCUUUUUGACUAAAAUAUAAAAUUCAAAUAUAAUAUUUAGAUGAAACAGUUAAUAUUUCGUCCAACCAUUCAUUCCAGCUUUCAAUUAAAAAACUAUUGAUUAUGCUACCUUUGCACAGUUAAUAUACUGCGGCCAUUUAAAUUUUCAGUGGGAACGUAAGAC
rnacentral:rRNA from 1 species